CCCUAGCCCAGAUAGAAGUGGCAUCCUUUUUUAUGGUUUUUUCUGCUAUAAAAAAGAUAUAGCGUCCCGAGGCUUCGG
rnacentral:sRNA from 1 species